UACGUAGGGGGCAAGCGUUGUCCGGAAUUACUGGGCGUAAAGGGCUCGUAGGCGGCCAACUAAGUCGGACGUGAAAUCCCUCGGCUUAACCGGGGAACUGCAUCCGAUACUGGAAGGCUCGAGUUUGGGAGAGGGAUGCGGAAUUCCAGGUGUAGCGGUGAAAUGCGUAGAUAUCUGGAGGAACACCGGUGGCGAAGGCGGCAUCCUGGACCAACACUGACGCUGAGGAGCGAAAGCCAGGGGAGCAAACGGG
rnacentral:rRNA from 1 species